rnacentral:rRNA from 1 species
AGAUUGAACGCUGGCGGCAGGCCUAACACAUGCAAGUCGAGCGGUAGAGAGGUGCUUGCAUCUCUUGAGAGCGGCGGACGGGUGAGUAAUGCCUAGGAAUCUGCCUAGUGGUGGGGGAUAACGUUCGGAAACGGACGCUAAUACCGCAUACGUCCUACGGGAGAAAGCGGGGGACCUUCGGGCCUCGCGCCAUUAGAUGAGCCUAGGUCGGAUUAGCUAGUUGGUGAGGUAAUGGCUCACCAAGGCGACGAUCCGUAACUGGUCUGAGAGGAUGAUCAGUCACACUGGAACUGAGACACGGCCCAGACUCCUACGGGAGCAGCAGUAGGGAAUAUUGGACAAUGGGGACGAAAGCCUGAUCCAGCAAUGCCGCGUGAGUGAUGAAGGCCUUAAGGGGUUGUAAAGC